rnacentral:rRNA from 1 species
GUCCAGACUCCUACGGGAGGCAGCAGUGGGGAAUAUUGCACAAUGGGCGCAAGCCUGAUGCAGCAACGCCGCGUGAGCGAAGAAGGUCUUCGGAUCGUAAAGCUCUGUCCUUGAGGAAGAAGGAAGUGACGGUACUCAAGGAGGAAGCCCCGGCUAACUACGUGCCAGCAGCCGCGGUAAUACGUAGGGGGCAAGCGUUAUCCGGAAUUAUUGGGCGUAAAGAGUACGUAGGUGGUUUUGUAAGCGCGGGGUGAAAGGCAGUGGCUUAACCAUUGUAAGCCUUGCGAACUGCAAGACUUGAGUGCAGGAGAGGAAAGCGGAAUUCCUAGUGUAGCGGUGAAAUGCUUAGAUAUCACGCAGAACUCCGAUUGCGAAGGCAGCAUACCGGCGCCCGACUGACGCUGAGGCACGAAAGCGUGGGGAUCGAACAGGAUUAGAUACCCCUGUA